rnacentral:rRNA from 1 species
UACGUAGGGUGCAAGCGUUGUCCGGAAUUAUUGGGCGUAAAGAGCUCGUAGGCGGUUCGUCGCGUCGGCUGUGAAAUCCCGAGGCUCAACCUCGGGUCUGCAGUCGAUACGGGCGGACUGGAGUACUGCAGGGGAGACUGGAAUUCCUGGUGUAGCGGUGAAAUGCGCAGAUAUCAGGAGGAACACCGGUGGCGAAGGCGGAUCUCUGGGCAGUUACUGACGCUGAGGAGCGAAAGCGUGGGGAGCGAACAGG